CCCUCCAGAAUUUGAAAACUCUUGAUGAAUGAUCCAAAAGACCCAGAGAGAAUUCAAAUUAAAGAACCAGACAUGCUCAGAUGUUCCUCUGCAUCAUCUCUAUAGUGGAGACUGAAUCCUAUUAAAAUACCGGAAACACAAGCACCCGGAAGAUCAAUUUCAUCUCUGCUGAAUGGGACCAUACAAGCAAUGCCACAGGAAACAGGAAUCAUGCCAUAGAAGAACAUCGCAACAGGAUCACCCAAACCUUGGCUGGCUUCAUACUCUACACACUGACUUCUCCAAAUGGACGAGUGAACCUCUAAUAGAUCUCAAGUUGCUGUACAGAAGAUGGUCCCCUAAAACAGGAAGCAGCUGGAGCGGUCUUCAUCCCCAUUCCCCAAGAUUGACGAAUGAUCAAAAGAGAAGGGGGAUUGAAACUGAAGAUGAAGGAGUUAAAAUUUCCCUGGAUUAGGGUGAAACUGUGCCUUGUACCCA
rnacentral:lncRNA from 1 species